CAGUGAGCCAAGAUCGUGCCAUUGUGCUCCAGCCUGGACAACAGUGUGAGACUCUGUCUCAAAAAAAAAAAAAAAAAUUAUCUCUUGAGUGACAGCCCCCUCCAGCUACACUUCCUCCUUUCUACACCCACUUUUGCAACAAACUCAAAAGAAUUGUCUAUAUUCACUGAUUACAUUUCCUCCUGUUUUCUUUAAACCUUAGUAGUCAGCUGUCACCCUACCCCGGUCCAUUGAAAUUGUUCUUAUCAAGCUCAUCACUGACCUCCAUGUUACUAGUCCAAUGAUCAAUUCUCACUCCUCAUCUUGCUCAACCUCUCAGCAGCCUUUGAUGCAGCUGAAAUAACUGACACUUCUUGAAAUGUUUCCUUCACUUGACUCUCAGGAGUCUAUACAAUCCUGGUUUCCUGCUAUCUCACAGGCCGCACAGUUGCUGUCUCCUUCCGCUGAUUAUAACCUGCUCUAAUCCCCAGGGUUCCAUUCUCUGCUCUCUUUUCCUUUGUAAAUAUGAAUCUCUUCCUUGAACUUGAGAUAUAUAGAUAGAUAAAUUAUAAAUUGAUAGGCAGAUAGAUAUCAUAUUAAUCAAACUUAAUCAAAAUUAAACUUCCUAUCCUCUUUCCCAGACCCACGUUGCCACCACUGCCUUCCUCAUAUCAGUUAGUGGCAACGAUAUUCUUACCAUUGCUAAGGUUCAAAACCUUGGUAUCACCCUUGAGGAAUCUUUCCCUUUCACUCUACAUCUAAUCUAUUAGCAAAUGUUGUCUCUUCCACCUUCAUAAUACAUCCAAAAUCCAGUCACUUCUCAACACCUCCAUUGCUACAAUCAUCUGGUCCAGGCCACCAUCAUCUCUCUCCUGGACUUUUUCCUCCAAACUAGUCUCUUUAAUCCCACCGUUGACUCUCUGCAUUUAUUCUCAAACAGUAACCAGGGCAAUCUGCUAAAAUGCAAAUCAGAUAAUGUCACUCCUUCCCAUCUUCAUCAGAAUAAAAGCCCACGUCUUUCCAAAAGCUCGUAAGAGCCUGUAUAAUCUGGGUCUCUGUUUCUUUCUCCAUCUCAUCCUAGUUCUCUCUGCCUUCUCACUCUGCUCUUUCCAUAGUGACUUCUGGCUGACCUAGAACACACCAGGUAUGUUCUACUUCAGAUAUGUGUCUGGCUGCUCUCUCAUAUCCCAAGAUUUUUGCACAAAUGUCACCUUCUCGAUGAGGCUUUCCCUGAUCAUCCGGUUUAAAAUUGCUUUUUGCCCCAUGCCCCCUUUCCUUGCCUCAUUGUCUCUGUAACACUUGCCACCAUCUGAUACGCUAUGUAGUGUACCUUUCGUUUGCUGUCUAGAGUGUAAACUCCAUGAGGCAGGGUCUUUUGUCUGCUUUGUUCACUGUUAUACCCCUAAAACCUGGAUCAGUGCCUGGCCUAAAAUAGGAACUCAGUGAACAUUUGCUGAAUGAAUGAAUGAAUGAAUGAAUGAAUGAACUAGCAGUGAUUGAAAAAGACUCAACAGCCUACUCAGUGCUUUAAAAAUAUGCCACUAAUUACAGGCCCAGAAAGAAAAUUAGCCGUAAGCAUUUCUUUUCUGUUCCCAUUAGAACCUCUAAUGAGAGUGCACGGUUGUUAUUAUUUCAAAAGCAACAGCUUUCCAGUGUUUAACAAUGUGCUAAAUGCUUUUGCUGUUUGUUUCCAUUCCUUUUUCCCUAAUGGGUAAGGGGAUUCGAUGGCUGAUUUCCCCACUCUAAUCACCAUGGGGAGGCUGGUUUUCCUCAUGGCACUUGGCUUCUCCUCUCCUCAGAUUCAGCCAGCACUUAGUCAGUUGAUAAAAUCUUUGAGCACCUACUGUGUACUGUGUGUAGGGUUCUCUCUUUGAAUCAUAAGUCUAUUGCGCACCAUGAAACAUAAACCAAAUGUUGGUGAUGCAGUCCCAGUGAUCUCACUCCGAGGAAUUUUUGUAGCCAGCGUCCCCAGUGCUAAAGCAUGCCCCAUCUCUGCCAGAAGAUCUUUGAUGCCACAAGGGGCAAUACAGUGCUUCCCAGACUCUUCUGCAGAACUCUGUAUCAGUGUCAAAACAUUCUAGGCCCUCCUUACAUGAAAAUGGUCACUUAUCUAGUGAUGGAGGCUACAGAUGGUGCUUACUGUGCAUUUGGAUUCACAGACUGCUUACAAUAACUGAAACUGUUGGUGUCCACAGGCCCUGAAACGCUGAUGUCACUGGAAAGUGCAUUGUUCUUAGAGUUCAAAGACCCAAUUGCACUCUUGGUUCUGCCGCCUAACUGGCUGUGCCUCCUUAGGCAAGUUACUCCAUCUUCAAAGGCUCACUUCCUCACUGAACACUUUUGCCAGCUGCUUUCAAUCCUAAUAUUUUGGCAGCCAAACAGCAUGCUGUUCUGCAAAGGAGCUGGGAAACUGCUAAUGAUCUGAUAUGAACAGCCUCCCAGCUCUCCCGGGCUCCUGCUCAGAGCCCAAGGUUGACAGUGGGACAUGGGGCCUCUUAGCAUGCUGCCUUUUGCUCCAACCAGAGAAGGCCCUGGGCCUCACGCUUUACAGCCCCACCCCCAUAACACCAACUCUAUGUGUGGAGGGAAACCUGGGCACCUCUGUCUCUCAGGAUCUGCUGCUCAACUCUGGUACAGCAUGACGCAGAACGUUAAACACGCUGUCUUGGAAAUGACACCAUUCCAGCCUCAGGACAAUGCUUCUCCACAUCUCUUAUGUCCUUGAAACAAAGGUGACUGUGUCUGAAGAGUUGUGGGUUGUGGUGUUUCCAGUGUUGGAGAUGGACAUUAUUUCAGAAUGUGUGUCAGCUGGGGAAGGGGAGGUGACCGAUCACCUCCCCUUUUUGGGUAAAAGAAAAGACAAAUAUGUUAACAUGUUAAAUUCUUCCUCUCACAUAGCCAAGAAUGCAAUUGAUUCUUGCAAAAUUCAGUAUACAUCGCAUGUCCAUUUUCUUGCUUUUCUUCAUGUUCCCAUUUGUGAUUCUGGAGUUACCCAUAAACUAGUGUAGAAUUCACAACAAUUUCUGUAGCAGUUAAGGAACCUUUUGCAAUAUUAAACAGUUUAUAAAACCCGUGUGUGUGUGUGUGUGUGUGUGUGUGUGUGUGUGUAGCCGGGGUUUCUCAACCUUAGCACUAUUGACAUUUUAGACUGGUUACUUCUUUGUUAAGGAACCUCUUGCAAUAUUAAACAGUUUAUAAAACCCGUGUGUGUGUGUGUGUGUGUGUGUGUGUGUGUGUGUGUGUAGCCGGGGUUUCUCAACCUUAGCACUAUUGACAUUUUAGACUGGUUACUUUUUUGUUGUGGGGCUGACCUAGAAUGUUUAGCAGCAUCGCUCAUCCCCAUCCACUAGAUACCAGAAGCAAGUUGUGUCAACCAAAGAUGUACCCAGACGAUGCUCCUGGGAAGCAAAACCACCCUUUGAGAACCACUAGACAUAGACAUGUUUAUAGACAUAAGUGCAUGAAAAGUGAUGCUGCUUCUUCACACUGGCAAUGACAAGGAUCUCACACACUAGAAUUUUACUUAGUUUUAUUUAAAUAAUUUUGAUUAAAAAUUUCACAUCCAUUAAUCAUAAAAGUUUUCACUCAUUUUUAAUAGGCACAUUUUAAUACAAUCAAAGAAAAUUCAUUUUUUAAAACAUGAAAAAUGUACACUCAUAUAGUUUACCUUUAGUUUAAUCUACACUUUAUGAUAAAAAUAUGUUAAAACUUUGGACAUUUUGAAUACAAUCACAUUUUUCUAAACUCCAGAUCAUUACCAUCAAUAGAACACAUAUGACAUGAAUAUCUUGAUUAUAU
rnacentral:lncRNA from 1 species